CCGGAACUGCCUACUCAAGACCGGAUUCAACACACCAGAUGGUCAUGUUACUAUCACACAUGUCAAGGAAGCUUUCAAGAUCGACUCUUGCAAUGUGACUCUUAAGGCUAUGCCUGGUAUUACAAGCAGCCAUUUGCAGCCCAAUAAUUUUGAGAAAAUGAGGGUCAGCUAUGCUUUCCAGCUGUUCGGUCCAAAAGUUCUCCAGGCACUCAACCUCUACAAGCCAGAACUAGAGACGACAUGGGGAAGCAUUCUGGGAACGCAAGUCUUUUUCAAGAGAAUUCAAGAGCUCAUCGCAGCUAUGACAUCACGAUUUCCGAAGGACGCUCUCAAGCCC